rnacentral:sRNA from 3 species
AUUGCUGUGAAAAUACAGCGGUAUUUGGUGAAUGCGUUUCAACGUCCUGCCGCAGUGCUCUUCGUUGCCCCUUUCCUCAGUACUUUCUGAAUUUUUACAGCGCCGGUAUUCCGACUGGAUACCGAUGGUCCCGUGAGGGCAAAAUUUCAGAAAUACAGGAAAGAUCAAUGUCAGAUACAAAAACAGGCCACGUAAAGUGGUUUAACGAGUCCAAGGGCUUCGGCUUUAUCGCCCAGGACGGUGGCAGUGACGUUUUCGUUCACUAUAGUGCAAUCAACGCGAGCGGUUUCCGCACCCUGACCGAAGGUCAACAGGUGCAGUUUACCGUGACUCAGGGUCCGAAAGGUCCCCAGGCGGAAAACGUAACCCCAGUCUGAGGUUACGCGACCCCGCCCUAUGCCCCUCACGGGCACAGGGAAUCCGAAAAAGCCGGCAUUCGCCGGCUUUUUCUUU